UACGAAGGGGGCUAGCGUUGUUCGGAAUUACUGGGCGUAAAGGGCGCGUAGGCGGCGUGUCAAGUCAGGCGUGAAAGCCUCGGGCUCAACCUGGGAACCGCGCUUGAGACUGGCAUGCUCGAGUUCGGGAGAGGAUGGUGGAAUUCCCAGUGUAGAGGUGAAAUUCGUAGAUAUUGGGAAGAACACCGAUGGCGAAGGCAGCCAUCUGGACCGACACUGACGCUGAGGCGCGAAAGCGUGGGGAGCAAACAGG
rnacentral:rRNA from 1 species